AUAUCCCAUACAAACAGUAAACGCAGUGGUUUAGUAUACCAAUUCACAACACAAAGAGUUCAAAGACAGACAUUUUGAUCAACGUGAUCUCAGAUCACUCAUCAUGUGACCUCACCAGCAGGACGUAUCCAGAGAGGAUCUUGAGUUAAUGUUACAUGUAACGUUAACAUGACGCGAACAAUCACGGAUACAUAAAGACCCACUUUCUUCAAGCCAGAUGGAUGAGGGUACUGCAUGUACGGGGCUGGGCUCUGAGGUGUGUAGGGGCUGGACACAUGGCUGUUCUGGGGAAACCUGCUGCCCGGACCCGUCUGCUGGGGGACAAACCCACUACAAACGCAACCAGAAGCAUGAUACUCGGAGGAGAACUGGAGAUACUUACAUGUGUUCAGUGGACACCUGGCUGAGACUCUGAGACAGCUGAGCCACCAGAUUCUCAUCCUGGCAAGCCAGAAGACAGCUGACCUUCUCAGCAAUGCUGCCAUUGUACAGUAAGCUCUUAGUGGUGGUAGCAGGGUGUGGGGAGGGAAGGGGCAGUUGGUUCAACACUGCAAGAAACAAAAGGAGAUAUAUGAAACAAUCACUAAUACACCUGCUAUUACAAUACCAGAACACCUCACUAGAAUGUCUUAGCGCAUACUUACAGUCUGU